rnacentral:rRNA from 1 species
ACGAACGCUGGCGGCGUGCUUAACACAUGCAAGUCGAACGGGGUCCAACCAGUCGCAAGACCGGGGAAGACCAAGUGGCGAACGGGUGCGUAACACGUGAGGAACCUGUCCCGGUCUCUGGAAUAACGAGUGGAAACAUUCGCUAAUACCGGAUGCCGUCGGGUCACCGCAUGGUGAACUGACGAAAGGGCUACCGGAUCGGGAGGGGCUCGCGGCCUAUCAGCUUGUUGGUGAGGUAACGGCUCACCAAGGCGUCGACGGGUAGCUGGUCUGAGAGGAUGAUCAGCCACACUGGGACUGAGACACGGCCCAGACUCCUACGGGAGGCAGCAGUGGGGAAUCUUGCACAAUGGGCGAAAGCCUGAUGCAGCAACGCCGCGUGCGGGAAGAAGGCCUUAGGGUUGUAAACCGCUUUCAGCAGGGAAGAAAAUGACGGUACCUGUAGAAGAAGGUGCGGCCAACUACGU